CCAAGGAGUCUAACAUGUGCGCGAGUCGUCGGGUCUUGAAUAGGCCCGCAGGCGUAAUGAAAGUGAAGGGCGACCUCGGCGUCGCCUGCGUUGGGAUCCCCGGUUCCUCGGGUCCGGGGCGCACCAACGGCCCGUCUCAUCCGCCUCGUCGGUGGGACGGAGCGAGAGCGUACACGUUGGGACCCGAAAGAUGGUGAACUAUGCCUGGGCAGGACGAGGCCAGAGGAAACUCUGGUGGAGGUCCGCAGCGAUUCUGACGUGCAAAUCGAUCGUCAGACCUGGGUAUAGGGGCGAAAGACUAAUCGAACCAUC
rnacentral:rRNA from 1 species